CCGGUAAACGGCGGCCGUAACUAUAACGGUCCUAAGGUAGCGAAAUUCCUUGUCGGGUAAGUUCCGACCUGCACGAAUGGCGUAAUGAUGGCCAGGCUGUCUCCACCCGAGACUCAGUGAAAUUGAACUCGCUGUGAAGAUGCAGUGUACCCGCGGCAAGACGGAAAGACCCCGUGAACCUUUACUAUAGCUUGACACUGAACAUUGAGCCUUGAUGUGUAGGAUAGGUGGGAGGCUUUGAAGUGUGGACGCCAGUCUGCAUGGAGCCGACCUUGAAAUACCACCCUUUAAUGUUUGAUGUUCUAACGUUGACCCGUAAUCCGGGUUGCGGACAGUGUCUGGUGGGUAGUUUGACUGGGGCGGUCUCCUCCUAAAGAGUAACGGAGGAGCACGAAGGUUGGCUAAUCCUGGUCGGACAUCAGGAGGUUAGUGCAAUGGCAUAAGCCAGCUUGACUGCGAGCGUGACGGCGCGAGCAGGUGCGAAAGCAGGUCAUAGUGAUCCGGUGGUUCUGAAUGGAAGGGCCAUCGCUCAACGGAUAAAAGGUACUCCGGGGAUAACAGGCUGAUACCGCCCAAGAGUUCAUAUCGACGGCGGUGUUUGGCACCUCGAUGUCGGCUCAUCACAUCCUGGGGCUGAAGUAGGUCCCAAGGGUAUGGCUGUUCGCCAUUUAAAGUGGUACGCGAGCUGGGUUUAGAACGUCGUGAGACAGUUCGGUCCCUAUCUGCCGUGGGCGCUGGAGAACUGAGGG
rnacentral:rRNA from 1 species